rnacentral:rRNA from 1 species
AAGUCGUAACAAGGUCUCCGUUGGUGAACCAGCGGAGGGAUCAUUACUGAGUUAUCUAACUCCAAACCCAUGUGAACAUACCUAUGUUGCCUCGGCGAGAAAAGCCUACCCGGGACCUACCCGGGAGGGCCUGCCUCGCCGGUGGAUUAUCAAACUCUUGUUUUUAUGUGGCACUUCUGAGUACACUUUAAAAUAAGUCAAAACUUUCAACAACGGAUCUCUUGGUUCUGGCAUCGAUGAAGAACGCAGCGAAAUGCGAUAAGUAAUGUGAAUUGCAGAAUUCAGUGAAUCAUCGAAUCUUUGAACGCACAUUGCGCCCAUUAGUAUUCUAGUGGGCAUGCCUGUUCGAGCGUCAUUACAACCCUUAAGCCCUAGUUGCUUAGCGUUGGGAGCUUUACGCCUCUGGUGGAAACUCCUUAAAGUUAUUGGCAGAGUUACGACAUACUCUAAGCGUAGUAAUUAUUUCUCGCUUUUGAAAGUGUUGUAACGAUCGCCAUAAACCUCUAUAUUUCUAGUGGUUGACCUCGGAUCAGGUAGGAAUACCCGCUGAACUUAA